CAAAAGCGUAUAUUAAAGUUGUUGCGGUUAAAAAGCUCGUAGUUGGAUCUACGCCUUUGGUUGGCGGUCCCCCAAAAGGGUGGCACUGCCGUACCAGGGCUAUUUUUCUGGUUUUCCCUUGGUGCUCUUUACCGAGUGCUUUGGGUGACUGGAACGUUUACUUUGAAAAAAUUAGAGUGCUCAAAGCAGGCGAUCCGCCUGAAUAGUGGUGCAUGGAAUAAUAGAAUAGGACUUCGGUUCUAUUUUGUUGGUUUUCGGAACUCGAGGUAAUGAUUAAGAGGGACAGACGGGGGCAUUCGUAUUGCGACGUUAGAGGUGAAAUUCUUGGAUCGUCGCAAGACGUACAACUGCGAAAGCAUUUGCCAAGAAUGUUUUCAUUAAUCAAGAACGAAAGUUAGAGGUU
rnacentral:rRNA from 1 species